GUGAAAUCUGAUGUCAUACUUUCAUGAGAUAUAAACUGCAAAUGAUAUUCUAAAGUGGAUUUGUUAAGGAUGUGAUCUAAAUCAUAAAUUGAUUGAAAGUGAACAUCGUGCUUGCGCUGGGAUCGCAAAUUAAGGGUGGGUCCUGGGUUCACAGAUCCUCUGUGUGGCAUCCAAGGUGAAUAAGACGUGGAACAUUCUUGAAGCUCAUUCCUCCCCUCAGCUUCAGUCAGAAGUUCAAAGUUAGUUCACUGCUUUGCUUGGAGGCUUUGUUGCCGACCAUAAUGGGAACACUUCCAUUGGGUUGGUCAAUAAAUAUACAUAACCAAAUCUGAUAAGGAAUCAUCCAGAUCUUCUCCAAGUCUCCGAGUCCCUUGGAGCAUUAGAGGUUAGCUCUUGAUUUCACUUUUCCACCUUGAAAAACUGACUUAAGAACUUUUGUGCCUCUGAGUCCCACUGCAGAAGACGAGGCCCCUCAUGAAUUCUGUGGGUGUUUGGUUCUUAAAGGACUUGCAGUGAUGUUCAUCCAAACGUCUCUAGAACUUCAUCACCAACACACAUGUGGACUGGAAAGUGAAAAAGGGAACUGUCACUGCCUCAGUUUAUCAGAGUUCUGCCGCUGGACUCUAAAAGCCUCUGUGUCACAGAGUAAAAGAAUAUAAAGGAAAGCAUAUUUAUGCUUCGUAAGAGGUUGGACGCAGAAAACAAUCCUGCCCUCUGAGAGCUGGAAUCCUUCAUCCAUUAUAAAAAUAUCAAUGAAGCCCCUUUUGGCCAAGCGCUUGUGUGCCUUGAAGAAAUACAGUCCUCAAAUAAACUCACGGUUUGUGGAGGGAAUGAAAUACCAGACACGCUAGGCACUCCAUAACCGGGUAAAUUUGGACGGCACCCCGAGCCUGUCCGGGGCCCGUCUGGGAAGCUGUGUGAGGCACAAGCGCUCGGCCCUGUUUUUGAGAAGAUGCACCACGCGCGGGAGGAGAGGAAGCCGGCACCGGAAGGAACAGGCGUUGUCACAGAGCACCGCGGAAACCCAGGCCCGAGACUCUCGACGGCGUCCUUUUAGUAAGCUGGGAACACAGAGAGACAGAAGCGCGUGUGACGUGUCAGAUGUCACCCACUCUUUGUGCUUCUUCCAGGAAACACGGAGCCCUCGUGGACCCUAGGAAUUGCAAUGCCUCGUCCUGGCUCCUCAGAAGGAGCAUCCUGAAGGUGAAACCUUCCUUAUUCAUUGGAAAGGGGAGGGAGAAAAUACUCUCUCUGUCCCUUUAAAAUAAAAUUCUAAACCAAAUUCCA
ensembl:lncRNA